UAUAUAAAACAUGUAGAAAGUUGGAAAUAUAAAUUAUAAGUCAUAGUGCUUAUAUAAAUCUAUUUACAACCCUAUCUAGCAUAAGAAAAAAUAAAUAGUGUUGAACUUAUUUAAUCUAAUGGGUUUGUUUCUUCACUUUGUUCCUCCUUUCUUCUGGUAGUGUGUUUUCAUUUAUCUGUUAGAAAUUGGAAAAAUAGAAGUUAAUGUGAACAAAUGAUAGUUGGAUUUGUUGAAGGAUCCUCUUGCUAAAGAUCAGAACAAUAAAAGGACUUACAGAAAGUUAAAUAAAAUGACUUACGUAGUUGAAAACUGUUGGCAGACCAGGUACUGCAUAGACGAAAACAUUAGGCAUUAUUAACUAAGCAUGUAAAGUUUAUGUCAAAUUUUAUAUUAUGUGUGUUUUGAAUUAUGUAUGAUAAUGAUGAGAUAACAAAACAUAUGUGUGGUUUGAGCUAUAUAUGGCCUUAAACCUUAAAUACUGAAUGAAUCCAAGUUUUACAAAUUAUUCUUAUUCAAACCAAUCAAUUGAAUUAUGCUUAAACAAGUUUGGUCUACAGUUUUUAAAAAGUGAAAAAAAAUUUAAACUGUUUAAAAAGUGAAAUAUAAACCCUCAUUUUGCAGAAUUAUUAACUUUGAAAAACGAAUGCAUAAAUGGUCAGAUGGUGUUUUAGAGAAAAGUUUCUCUAUCUUGAUAAAUGGUCAGGUUUGUUCCUCCAUUGAUCUAUAUUAUGCCAAAAAUGUUUCACUAAAUGCGUUUAUUUAAAAAGAAAAUCAACCGCACCGGGGAAAAACUAAAUAAAAAAAAAAGUCACACCAUGGUAAACCAUAAUUUGUAAAUUGAGGAAAAAAAAUGUGAAAUUAUAACAUGUGACAAUAAGAUCAGCUAGCAAAACAAAAAAGUUGAUUUCAGCUUUUUAUGGCAUAAUGUUAACAUAUGAUAACGAUAAUAAAUAUAAAAAUUUAGAAUGAACAUACCAAUUGGCGAAAUAUAGGCGAAUCAUCAAACUUUCCAAAAUGCAUGUGUAGAAGGAUACAGAUAUCGCCUUCACCUUCAUCUUGAAUUUUAGUGAAACAUAGUGCCUAACAAUUGUGGCAUAAAUUAAUUUUAAAUUUUCCAUCACUUGUAAAUUGUAAUUAAAUAAAGUGAAUGCACAAUAAUCAUAUCCCAAUCAUAGAAUUAAGAAUUUUCAAAUGUCAUAAUAUUUAACAACUACUAUGCAUAGUUCUUAAAAAAAGAGAGUAUAAAACUAACAUGUAAUUACAGCAGCUAUGAGUAUAAAUUAAUGAACAUUUCCUUUAAAGACAUAGUGCGGUAUAAAUUCUGUCACAUAACAUCACUUGGGAAUGGGAUUUAGUUUAGAGGCUAACCUUCCCAUAUCAAAUCCAUUCAUACUGAUCACCUGAUGUUAAGAAAGUUUGACAUUAAGAGUAUAUAAUUCCAUCAAUUUAAGAAAGUUGGAAUUCAAUCAUGUUAAAUUCAUAAUUUUUUAACAUGCAUUUCCAUCAUAAUAACCACCACAUCAUCAUAUUUUCACAACCAUUAAAUCAAAAGACAUAUUAUAGAUUAAUUACUCAAUUCACCUUAACCAUCAAAUCCAACAAAAAAAUCUUGAUGUAACAAAGAUAAAAUAAAACAGGAAAUUUAAAAUUUCUAAAGCAUAUAUGUCUCACAGGUCAUAAUGAAGAACCAAUAGGAAUCAAGAUAUUAUGUGUAUCCACAAAAUUAUUCCAACUUCAAAUCUCAUUGGCCUAUAUUAAGAUGAUAAUCCUAAAAACUCCCCUUGCCAUGCUUUUUUGAAAAGUGAUGAAUUUGGUUUUGCAAUGAUAUGUGGAUUCUUGGGAUAUUUGAAAUUAAUUGGAUCAGGCCUUUUCAGUUAUGUUGGUUCGUUUUUGGUUUUCAAAACUUCUCUAUAUGUAUGUAUGUACGCAUAGUAGAAUGCAAAAAGCAUAACUAUAGUUAUUUAAAACCAACUCAAUUUUUUGAUAUGAUUACUAAAAUUUGAAGCUUGGAAAAGAGAACCAACCUAACUCCAGAGGCAUCAAAUGUUUCCUUGGGAAAUUGACUUACCUAACAGGAAAGUUCUAAGUUAAGGAGGUCUGGAAGGAGUAGAUGGGUUACAUUUAGAGAUGUAUAAGACGAACCUUUACAGAGCACCUAUUAAUCACUUUUAAAAUUACAGAGCACAUAUUAAUCACUUCCAAAAUGAGAAACACAAAAUCUGAAACAGCACCUAAAUCAUAUUAGGGUUGAGAAUCUUUAAUUUAUUAGAAUUAGGGAUCCAUUAAUACAACUAUGUCACACUCUAGUACUAAUUUUUUUAUUUGGCUCAUCAACCGCAGACAGACUCAUUGUAUAGAAAUAUGUCUAAGACAUAAAUGAAAGGAUCAUAAACAUGUUUGACAAUGCUGAUAAGCAAAGGGAUCUUGCUGCCAAAAUAUAAAAGGUUGUUUAGACUUUUGCCAGAUUGGAAUCCUUCCAGAAUUAAUCUGAACCUCAACAUUCGAGAGGUACAAAAGAUGCGUCAACUUCAACUAAUAAAUAAUAUUGAAUUUAAGAGAGAAAUAGUAUUGAGAUUAAGAGAGACAAAGAGAAGAGAGAGAGGGGCAACAAAUGAGUCUAUUGAAUUUGAAGAAAUCUGAACUCAAAGUCUCCAACUUGAAUACCUUCAUCUCUAAAUUUCUUCAAAGAAAUUAGGACAUAUGUAAAUCAAAAUCGAAUAUAAAUUUAAGUUCGAAAUCGAACUCAAUUGGAAUCAGAUCGAAAGAAAAUCUAAUAAACAAUAGCGAUUUGAGAAAUCUAAAUUUGAGAAAUAUAAGCACACACCUGAAGAAGUUAUACCCUGUCUGAAAGUUCUUUGUGCAAAUAGAAACUUGAAACUGCAAAGCAAAGAAAACCACGGCUUAAGAAUGAAACAUCACUCAAAAUUUAUAUUAAAAAAACUUAAACAUAUAAAAAGUUAAAAACUACCUAUGGUGAAGAGUGCUAGCCCAAUCCUCGAUCCCUAAAACCAAUCAGUAGAUGAAAACCAAAGAAAAAAUAACUGCAAACUAAGCAAUAAACAUAGGAAGCAUCAAAACAAAGUAAAUUUUGAUUCUUUCAUUAAAAAAAACAAAACUCUUGACAAAUCAAACCUACAAAGAAUUGAUAUUUGGAUCCUCAAAACCCUAACUGAUAAUCAACAAUUAGAUAGCUAACUGAACAAAGUUGUUACACACAUAGCAAUUAAAAGAAGAACCUCUACACAUGUAUUAUACUUGAUCCCCAUCUAAAAUCAUUAAACCCAGAUAGUAAAAUAAUCAGAAUUCGCUAGAAAAAUCAUAACCAUUAUCAUAUAUGCGAAAAAGCAAUAAAAUUGAAAUCCAAAAUUAAAAAAAUCGAAAAACCCUAGCUCGUAAAUUCAAAUUUUCAUCUGGAUAACAUGCAAUUCUAAUAAAAAUUAAAACUCUCCAUCUGGGUUCCUUUGAAUUCUACCCAACAAUAAUGAAAUGCGAAAUUAGGCAUACCUAUUAGCUGCUAAACCGCUUAGAUUGUGGCUGUCGGUGUUGUCGGAAGGCUAAAGCUUUUCUGGGUUUAGAGGAGAGAAGACCUUUGAGACCAAGGAGAUUCAUAUGAGAUUUAAGUUUAAAACGAAAAUAAGUUGUGAGAUUGGGAGAUGAGGCUAGGAGGGAGAUGGGGAGAGCAGGAGGCAGGUAGAGAAAAAGUGGGUCGAUAGUCUGAAACGGUGGGAAGCAUCCAGAGAAAAGGAGGGUCGAG
rnacentral:lncRNA from 1 species